AACAAACGCUGGCGGCAGGCCUAACACAUGCAAGUCGAACGCUGUAGCAAUACAGAGUGGCAGACGGGUGAGUAACGCGUGGGAACCUUCCCAGUGGUACGGAAUAGCUCAGGAAACUUGGGGUAAUACCGUAUGAUCCCGAGAGGGUAAAGAUUUAUCGCCAUUGGAUGGGCCCGCGUCGGAUUAGCUAGUUGGUAGGGUAACGGCCUACCAAGGCGACGAUCCGUAGCUGGUUUGAGAGAAUGACCAGCCACACUGGGACUGAGACACGGCCCAGACUCCUACGGGAGGCAGCAGUGGGGAAUCUUGGACAAUGGGCGCAAGCCUGAUCCAGCCAUGCCGCGUGAGUGACGAAGGCCUUAGGGUUGUAAAGCUCUUUUGCCGGGGACGAUAAUGACGGUACCCGGAGAAUAAGUCCCGGCUAACUUCGUGCCAGCCGCCGCCGUAAUAC
rnacentral:rRNA from 1 species